GGGCUUGUAGCUCAGGUGGUUAGAGCGCACGCCUGAUAAGCGUGAGGUCGGAAGUUCGAGUCUUCCCAGGCCCACCA
rnacentral:tRNA from 1 species